rnacentral:rRNA from 1 species
GCAAGUCGAGGGGUAACAGGAGGUGCUUGCACUUCGCUGACGACCGGCGCACGGGUGAGUAACGCGUAUACAAUUUACCUUAUACAGGGGGAUAGCCUUUAGAAAUGAAGAUUAAUACCCCAUGGUUUAUUAGAAUCACCUGAUUUUAAUAGUAAAGAUUUAUCGGUAUAAGAUGAGUAUGCGUUCUAUUAGCUAGAUGGUAAGGUAACGGCUUACCAUGGCGACGAUAGAUAGGGGCCCUGAGAGGGGGAUC